GAGUGAGCUAGGGUGGCCUUCGGUGUGGCCUCUUGGUGGGGUGCUUUUUCUAGGGGGCUCUUCUGGUUUGGCUCGAGUCGUUGGAGGUGGUACAGGUACAGGUACCGGUGGUGGUGGGAGGAGGCCGAGCGCGGCGACGGCGGCGUGGGGGCGGAGGAGCGGGGCUGGAGGUUCUUCGGGCGGGAGGAGCGCGGGGAGCCGUCGCCGGCGGCGCGGGACGCCGAGCGCUCCCGGCGGCCGCUGCCCGAGCACCUGGUCUGGCAGAUGUUGCCGCACAUGCCCGGGACCAGCCACCUGCUGCGGCUGCACGCCCUCCACGACGACAUGGCCCGGCCCGACCAGUGCCGGCGGCGGAGGAAGGACCACCGGCGGAGCCCCAGCAAGGACGGCCUCCCCUUGCGCCAGCCGCUGCGGCAGGCCGCCCCGCGGCUGGAGAAGAAGCGGCGGCCCCGUCCCCCCGAGCCCGACAGCGAGCACGACUAGGUGUAGAUGCAGUGGGGGUAGUUCGCCAAGGAGGUCCGCGAGACCCGCCAGCCGCACGAGCCGAGGCAGCCGUGGAUGCGGGAGCGGCGCGCCGGCGAGCUGCUCCCCGAGCAGGCCAUGCACGACCUCGUGGGGCCCCGCUACACCAAGCAGCCGGGCUGGAAGCGCCGCGAGUGUCCGGAGCAGAAGUUCCUUCCAGAGACGAUACCUUUUAAUCUUCGACCAUAGAAUUGCAAACAGUAGGGGUAGGAAGAAGAACCUGUGGACAGACCAAACUACUUGCUGCCCUGUUUUUACUCGGAGAAUCCUCACACCUACCGCGAGAAGUGGCACAAGCGGCGCUCCUUUAAGGUCGUCGGGUAGUUCCUGCUGUAACCGCUGUUCAGCCAAAAGUAUAAGUUGCGGGAGGGGCUUCUCCUUUUCUUCCGAGACGACGUCUCCGAACUCCGUGGUUGACUCGUCUUCAAGCUAAUUGUCCAUGAUCCUGUCACAGUUAUGGAUCAGCUACCUACAGGCCUAGUCGCGAAGGUACUUCUCCUUACCUUUGAAACGGUGACUUCGAGCUCUAGCCGCUUGACUCGUCUUUGAACUUAUCGACAUCCAUCGUGUUACGUCUAUCGAUCAACGCUGGCUACCUACAUACAUUGACAAGACGUACCAGCAAGACCUCUGGUCACGCGUACGGUCAUACAUAUCUACUCUUGGAACCUUGACACUACAUCAACGUAUAGAAAAGGAACUGCCGGUUGGGGACCCAAGUCUUUUAAAGUCUUCUUCUCCGAUAUUGAACGUGGUGUCUUUGACUUUGUGAGGCGACUUAUGCCAUGACAGCAGACAACGGUAUACGAUUUCACUUUUGAACUACCUUCCUCUCCUUUAACCACAAUUCUAUAGGCUUCAUAGCCUUCAAGUCCGGUACUUAUUAAGAGACCCACGACGAUCAUAUUAAGGUCCCAAAGCUGCCAGUACAUGUACACGGUGUACGUCUUAACGUCCAUGUUUUCUCUCCAUAAGACCG
rnacentral:rRNA from 1 species